UAAAAAACGUAACAAGGUU
rnacentral:rRNA from 1 species